rnacentral:lncRNA from 1 species
CAAACCACAUCAAAUCAUGGUGUGAUUUGACCAGCAUCAGCUUGGAGAACAAUACAGACAUACACAGGCUAGUGAAAAGACUGUCAUCUUUUGCAUUUGCUACCAUUUUGAUGAACUUAAUUGCAAAGGCAGUUAAGACUAACUGAUGCUACCUUAAGUAGUAGGAACUGUGACAAUGUAUUUUAAAAAAGCAAUUUCGUAAUAAGGUUCAGAAAAAAGAACUAUUUUCUCUUACUAUAACACCAUUUAUUUACAUUUAAUAAAAUGAAAAGAACACCAAGGCUUCUGUAC